UUAAUAUAUUUUAUUACAUAUACAUUAAUUUGUUGUUACUAAAAUACUAUGAGAGCUCAACCACACCCUCUUAUUGCAUGUAUUGAUAGAUUGUCAAAAGAUGUUAAGAAGAAAAAAAAGAAAAGAAUAUAAGAAGAACAAUUAGGUCUUUUCUCAUCUAGGGGAUAGAUCCCAUUGAUACUAAAUGAUACCUCAAUAUUUUUAUGGUAGGGGUGUGCCAUUCUGGCCUAAAAAAUGUACCAAUUUUAAUAUACAUGUAACAUAACGUUCAGCACCUAUAGUCAGGAGCAGAUCCAGAACUUUUUGUAAAAGGGGGGGGGGGGGGGAGGGGGGCUGACUGACCUAAUAGGGGGCCGCUCUAGUCAUCAGUGAUUCCCUAAAUAAUCAACCAAAUUUUUCCCAUGAAAAAAGGGGGGGGG
rnacentral:lncRNA from 1 species